UUGGUGUUAUGGCAUUAUAAAAGCAAAACCCAUCAAUGAAUUCAAAACAAACCGAAGAAAAGAAAAAGUGAAAAAUGGAGUCUCCAAUAUUGGCCUUUGUUUUAGUUGCAUUAACCUUCUUUUUUAGCUUCCCAAUUCUCUCCACAUUCGCUGCUCAGCCUCAUCCAUUGCCUUCUCUUUACUACACAAACAUUGUUCCGCCACCACCACCGCCACCGCCGUCAUUUUCCCCGUAUGAAUAUGAACUGCAAGCAACGAGAAGGAGAAGGAGAAGGCACUUACGUUCUCCGCCGCCACCACCACCGCCACCGAGGUUCCAAUGGCCAAGAAGGCCAAUGCGUAGAUCUCCCCCGCCUCCUUUCUAAAACACACCAACUACACUGUUGGUUUGCAAGCAUCAGCAAGAAAGGAAGAUUGCUUUGACUUCGCUUUUAUCAUACCAAGCAGCCACCAGAGACGGGGUGAUUUACAAAUUUUUUCGAGUUUGAUUGAUGUUUAAUUGUUGGAUUUUCUUUUACCAACUUAUAUUGUUAUAUUUUAUAGGUCAAGUUUAUAUCUUUAAUAAAUAUUUUUUUGUUAUGUCUAUAGUUCUAUUUAUUGUAAUUUUCUGAA